GCGGCGCCAUGCUGGAUGCUGCCGCCUGGAGCGCUCCAGAGACUACUGCCCGGGUUUGGAUUUCGCCUCUGGGCCCUGGCGUCCCUUCACAGACCACCACGCUAGUGCGUGGCCCUGUCGGAGCUCAGAUGGAACAAGUCGCCAUCUCUUCCUUCAGAAUUCCUAUUCUAGGAGCUGGCCCCCAACUACGACUCCGUGAAAAGAGAGCCCCUUGGGUGCCACAACUUUUGACUAGUGGUGAAAAAACCCAUCAAAUGCCCUCGCAGGCCAGAACAUCCUAACCUGAGGACCCAGCCAUCCUGGGAGUAGGGACGGAGGUCAGUGAGGACCUCCCUGAGAAAGUGAGCUGAACAGUGGCUUGAAGAGGAAGAGUCGGGUGCAUGUCUUGGGGGCCAGCACUGUGGUGUAGCAGGUAAAGCCACCACCUGCAGUGCCAGCAUCCCAUAUGGGCACCGGUUCCAGUCCCGGCUGCUCCUCUUCCCAUCCAGCUCUCUGCUAUGGCCUGGGAAAGUAGAAGAUGGCCCAAGUCCUUGGGCCCUGCACCCGCGUGGGAGACCCAGAGGAGGCUCCUGGCUCCUGGCUCCUGGCUUCGGAUCAGCACAGCUCUGGCUGUUGCGGCCAACUGGGGAAUGAACCAGCAGAUGGAAGACCUUUCUUUCUCUCUCUGCCUCUGCUUCUCUGUGUAACUCUUUCAUAUAAAUAAUAAAAUAAAUCUUCAAAAAAAUCA